rnacentral:rRNA from 1 species
AUAUUGGGCAAUGGACGCAAGUCUGACCCAGCCAUGCCGCGUGCAGGAUGAAGGCCCUAGUGGUUGUAAACUGCUUUUGUACGGGAAGAAACCUCCGCACGUGUGCGGGGCUGACGGUACCGUAUGAAUAAGCAUCGGCUAACUCCGUGCCAGCAGCCGCGGUAAUACGGAGGAUGCGAGCGUUAUCCGGAUUCAUUGGGUUUAAAGGGUGCGUAGGCGGAGUGAUAAGUCAGUGGUGAAAUCCUGCGGCUUAACCGUAGAACUGCCGUUGAUACUGUCAUUCUUGAGUACAGUUGAGGUGGGUGGAAUGUGUAAUGUAGCGGUGAAAUGCAUAGAGAUUACACAGAACGCCAAUUGCGAAGGCAGCUCACUAAGCUGUUACUGACGCUGAGGCACGAAAGCGGGGGGAUCAAACAGG